AACGAACGCUGGCGGCAGGCCUAACACAUGCAAGUCGAGCGGACCUUUCGGGGUCAGCGGCGGACGGGUGAGUAACGCGUGGGAAUAUGCCCUUCUCUACGGAAUAGUCCUGGGAAACUGGGGGUAAUACCGUAUACGCCCUUUGGGGGAAAGAUUUAUCGGGGAAGGAUUAGCCCGCGUUGGAUUAGGUAGUUGGUGGGGUAAUGGCCCACCAAGCCGACGAUCCAUAGCUGGUUUGAGAGGAUGAUCAGCCACACUGGGACUGAGACACGGCCCAGACUCCUACGGGAGGCAGCAGUGGGGAAUCUUAGACAAUGGGGGCAACCCUGAUCUAGCCAUGCCGCGUGAGUGAUGAAGGCCUUAGGAUUGUAAAGCUCUUUCAGCUGGGAAGAUAAUGACGGUACCAGCAGAAGAAGCCCCGGCUAACUCCGUG
rnacentral:rRNA from 1 species